UACGUAGGGGGCAAGCGUUGUCCGGAUUUAUUGGGCGUAAAGAGCGUGUAGGCGGCCUGAAAGGUCAGCUGUGAAAACUCGAGGCUCAACCUCGAGACGUCGGUUGAAACCAUCUGGCUAGAGUCCGGAAGAGGAGAGUGGAAUUCCUGGUGUAGCGGUGAAAUGCGCAGAUAUCAGGAGGAACACCGGUGGCGAAGGCGGUUCUCUGGGCCUUACCUGACGCUGAGGAGCGAAAGCGUGGGGAGCGAACAGG
rnacentral:rRNA from 1 species